rnacentral:lncRNA from 1 species
UUCUGUGCAAUAGGUGGACACGACUGUAACAGUUGACUUCAGUGAAAGAUAACUUGAUAUUGGAAUUGUAACGUGACUCUCAGAUCACCUUGAAUAUGUAUGGACAUCUAGACAUUCACUGCAUAGACUUUGUUCACAUUCAUAACACCAGACAGUUGAUGACUUAGAAAUGUGACGUCGAUCGCAAAUACUGCAGAUAUC